ACUAUCUGUUAAGCUGUGAGGAGCUCUGGUCAGUCUAUAAUGAGCCCCUCAGCCCUGACCAGGACCAUCCAUAGUUCCCCUGGCUCUGGCAACUCAUGAACCAAGAAUGGGGCAGGGUGGAGGGACACGAGAGCCUGAGAAGAGCUGAGCCAGCAGAGCUACUACAUCUUCUGUCUCCAAGGCCCUUUGGGCAGGGUCCCUCGUUUGUGACAUUACUAUCCUUGAGGCCCCAUGUGGCGUGGCAUGAAGAAGGACAGGGAGCCUGGCCCAACCCCAUCUGGGAAGUACAUCUCCCAGGCAGUUCUGCUAACUCAAGACAAACUGGAUUGAGCUUAAGCUAGUGGUGACACACUUGUAGAGGUGACACACUUGUAGAGGCCCCUGGCCUUCUGCUCCCAUGACACUGGAUGGUGAGCAUGGCAGCUAGCCCAUCCUAGUCACGCAACUGUUCAGAGGGCCAACAUGGAGCUAUGGAUGGCCAGCUGGAAAGCACAGUCUGUAAUAGAGAGCCAGGGUUCCAGAAAGAACCCUCAUUUAGACACGAGAUGCAAUAGCCUGAACCCAACCACUGACAACCGGAGGGCUGCCUCCCGCCUUGCUUUGUGAGUCACCAGGGGCUGUAUUUAACGAGAGCCUCUUACUUCAUGAGCCUCCAUUGUCAUGAGGCCAUCUUCCCUGGCUCCCAGUUCCUACUUGCUUCUCUCAAUAAAAUCCACUCUAAUUGGG
rnacentral:lncRNA from 1 species